UCAGACAUGCAAGUCGAAUGCGAAAGGUUCCUUCGGGAACCGAGUAGAGUGGCGCACGGGUGAGUAACACGUAGGUAAUUUGCCUUUGGGUGGGGAAUAACUCAGGGAAACUUGAGCUAAUACCGCAUAAUGCAGCGGCUCGACAUCGAGACAGUUGUUAAAGCGGGGGAUCGCAAGACCUCGCGCCUGAAGAGAAGCCUGCGGCAGAUUAGCUAGUUGGUAAGGUAAUGGCUUACCAAGGCGACAAUCUGUAACCGGCCUGAGAGGGCGGUCGGUCACACUGACACUGACAUACGGGUCAGACUCCUACGGGAGGCAGCAGUCGGGAAUUUUGGGCAAUGGGCGAAAGCCUGACCCAGCAACGCCGCGUGAAGGAUGAAAUUUUUCGGAAUGUAAACUUCGCAAGAACGGGAAGAAUAAGUAGAAGAUAAUACCUUCUAUGAUGACGGUACCGUUUGUAAGCUCCGGCUAACUCCGUGCCAGCAGCCGCGGUAAUACGGGGGGAGCAAGCGUUGUUCGGAUUUACUGGGCGUAAAGGGCGCGUAGGCGGUCGUGACAAGUCACUUGUGAAAUCUCCGGGCUUAACUCGGAACGGUCAAGUGAUACUGUCGGACUAGAGUACAGAAGGGGCAACUGGAAUUCUCGGUGUAGCGGUGAAAUGCGUAGAUAUCGAGAGGAACACCUGCGGCGAAGGCGGGUUGCUGGGCUGAUACUGACGCUGAGGCGCGAAAGCCAGGGGAGCGAACGGGAUUAGAUACCCCGGUAGUCCUGGCCUUAAACGAUGAAUGCUUGGUGUCUCGGGUUAUAAAGUCCCGGGGUGCCGUCGCUAACGCUUUUAGCAUUCCGCCUGGGGAGUACGGUCGCAAGACUGAAACUCAAAGGAAUUGACGGGGACCCGCACAAGCGGUGGAGCAUGUGGUUUAAUUCGACGCAACGCG
rnacentral:rRNA from 1 species